rnacentral:tRNA from 1 species
GGGCUGCUAGCUCAAUUGGUAGAGCAGGCGCCUCUUAAGCGUCAGGUUAGAGGUUCGAUUCCUCUGCAGCCCA